rnacentral:lncRNA from 1 species
GAAAUAAUCAGACUCAGAAAGACAAAUAUUACAUGAUUCCAGUUAACAGAGCAGCUGGAGCACAUCCCAGGGACUUGGGAGCUCUGGAAAGAGGAGCAGGAGAGGGCCAUGGAUGGAGGAGGCCUGAAAAAGAUCAUCUCUGCCACAGAGAAGAAGCUGGCUCAGAUGCUUGUGGCCACUGUGGAGACAGGGAGACCCAGGGAGACAACAGUAUUCACUCAAGGAGGAAUGGGUGGUGAUGCAAACUUGGGUGGAGGCCACAGGGUGCAGAAGACAGGACACAGCAGAGAGAGAUGUAGGACAUGGAAGGGACAGAAAGGAGUGACCACCGGACAUAAAGAGGCAAGGAAAGUGGAAGCAUGAGAACAUCUGCUGGGCAUCUGGCGGAGGGGUCAGGUUCCCAGGGUGCCCUUCCCUAAGGGAGAACCCAGGAUAGGAGCAGAUUCAGAGAAAACCACCCAGCUCACUCCAGCAAGAAGCAGAAAAGGGACUGGUUAAAGGACAGGGUAGGAAGGUCACCAAGCUCCAAGGGCCCUCAUGAAUCCGGCUUGUAGGCCACAGGGCCCAGGGCAAGGACCAAACCACAGGCACAGGACAGCUCCGGCCAAGAUCUUCUGGCUACUGCAGGAGGCAGAAACCACACCCUGCACCCUGCACUGCUGAGGCUAGCCCUGGAGUCCAGAAGCUUCUGCACCAGAACCUUUGGUCUCCCAUCCCCCUCAAAAAAUUAAAAACAAAAAGCAAAUCGGUGCCAUGCACCCUCUGUUUUCUGGUGCUGUUCAGGAUCCUGUGUCUUUCACGGGAGCACCUGAUGGGGAAAGCCUGUACCUGUGUUGGUGUCCCUCCUGCAAGGAGUGCUGGGACAAUGAAAUUUCUGGCUUCCUCCUUGGGAAGGCAGAACAUUCCCCAUGUGUACUGGUGGCAUUUAAAAACUGCAGGGCAGCCAGAGAACAUGCACCAUGUUCCACCAGGAGAGUUUCUGGCAGGUUGUCCCGGUGCAGACACCCGUCCCAAG